rnacentral:rRNA from 1 species
GAUGAACGCUGGCGGCGUGCCUAAUACAUGCAAGUCGAGCGAACAGACGAGGAGCUUGCUCCUCUGACGUUAGCGGCGGACGGGUGAGUAACACGUGGAUAACCUACCUAUAAGACUGGGAUAACUUCGGGAAACCGGAGCUAAUACCGGAUAAUAUAUUGAACCGCAUGGUUCAAUAGUGAAAGACGGUUUUGCUGUCACUUAUAGAUGGAUCCGCGCCGCAUUAGCUAGUUGGUAAGGUAACGGCUUACCAAGGCAACGAUGCGUAGCCGACCUGAGAGGGUGAUCGGCCACACUGGAACUGAGACACGGUCCAGACUCCUACGGGAGGCAGCAGUAGGGAAUCUUCCGCAAUGGGCGAAAGCUUGACGGAGCAACGCCGCGUGAGUGAUGAAGGUCUUCGGAUCGUAAAACUCUGUUAUUAGGGAAGAACAACUGUGUAAGUAACUAUGCACGUCUUGACGGUACCUAAUCAGAAAGCAACGGCUAACUACGUG